GAUGAACGCUAGCUACAGGCUUAACACAUGCAAGUCGAGGGGUAACGAGAGGAAAGCUUGCUUUCCUUGUCGACGACCGGCGCACGGGUGAGUAACGCGUAUCCAACCUGCCCCCAACUAGGGAAUAACCUUGCGAAAGUAAGACUAAUACCCUAUAAUUUCCUCAGAUGUCAUCUGACGAGGAAUAAAGAUUUAUCGGUUGUGGAUGGGGAUGCGUCUGAUUAGCUUGUUGGCGGGGUAACGGCCCACCAAGGCAACGAUCAGUAGGGGUGCGGAGAGGAAGGGCCCGCACAUUGGAACUGGGACACGGUCCAAACUCCUACGGGAGGCAGCAGGGAGGAAUAUUGGUCAAUGGGCGGAAGCCUGAACCAGCCAAGUAGCGUGCAGGAUGACGGACCUAUGGGUUGUAAACUGCUUUUAUACAGGAAUAAAGUUAGCCACGUGUGGUUAUUUGUAGGUACUGUAUGAAUAAGGACCGGCUAAUUCCGUGCCAGCCGCCGCCGUAA
rnacentral:rRNA from 1 species